UGGGGAAUUUUGCACAAUGGGGGAAACCCUGAUGCAGCGACGCCGCGUGAUUUAGAAGGCCUUCGGGUUGUAAAAAUCUUUUCUAUGGGAAGAAAAUGACAGUACCAUAGGAAUAAGUACCGGCUAAUUACGUGCCAGCAGCCGCGGUAAUACGUAAGGUCCGAGCGUUGUCCGGAAUCAUUGGGCGUAAAGGGUACGUAGGCGGGUAAGCAAGUUAGAAGUGAAAUCCUAUAGCUCAACUAUAGUAAGCUUUUAAAACUGCUCAUCUUGAGGUAUGGAAGGGAAAGUGGAAUUCCUAGUGUAGCGGUGAAAUGCGCAGAUAUUAGGAGGAAUACCGGUGGCGAAGGCGACUUUCUGGCCAUAACCUGACGCUGAGGUACGAAAGAGUGGGUAGCAAACAGG
rnacentral:rRNA from 1 species